rnacentral:rRNA from 1 species
GAUGAACGCUGGCGGCGUGCCUAAUACAUGCAAGUCGAGCGAACAGACGAGGAUCUUGCUGCUCUGACGUUAGCGGCGGACGGGUGAGUAACACGUGUAUAACCUCCCUGUCAUACUGGUAUAACUUCGGGAAACCGGAGCUAACACCGUAUAAUAUCUUGAAGCGUAUGGUUCAUUAGUGAAAGUCGGCUUUGCUGUCACUUAUAGAUGCAUCUCCGCUGCUUUAGGUGGUAGUUAAGGUAACGGCUUAUCAAGGCAAGGAGGCGCUGCCGAACUGAGAGGGUGGUCGCCCGCACUGGAGCUGAGACACGGUCAAGACUCCUACGGGAGGCACCAGAAGGGAAUCUGCCGCAGUGGGCGGAAGCAUGACGGAGCAGCGCCGCGUGAGUGAUGACAGUCCUCGGAUCGUAAAACUCUGUUAUUAGGGAAGAACAAAUGUGUAAGUAACUAUGCACGUCUUGACGGUAACUAGUAAGAAAGCAACGGCUAACUACGUG